UCUCCGUUGGUGAACCAGCGGAGGGAUCAUUACCGAGUUUACAACUCUCAAACCCCUGUGAACAUACCAUUUGUUGCCUCGGCGGUGCCUGCUUCGGCAGCCCGCCAGAGGACCCAAACCCUUGAUUUUAUACAGUAUCUUCUGAGUAAAUGAUUAAAUAAAUAAAAACUUUCAACAACGGAUCUCUUGGUUCUG
rnacentral:misc_RNA from 1 species